GGACAAGAGGGCCAUUUGGCUGCAAUAUCUGUCACCCCAGUAGUCACCAGGGUAGAUUUAGGUCAUCUGGCUUGCUAGACAGGUGUCUCUUUUCUCCCUUGUAGCUCCAUCUUUGCCCCUCUCAACACUGAAGGGGGGUUAAAGGAGUCCACAAUUAUCCAGAUAAAGAAUCAAGAGGAAUUUUUAGGGGAGCACCCACACAAUGAUGCUAAAAAACCACCGUGGUCUUCCUG
ensembl:misc_RNA 7SK 7SK RNA